rnacentral:lncRNA from 1 species
UUUUUUUUUUUUUGUGAGAUAUAGUUUCAUGAAGGUGAAAAGAGCAAACAAAAUAUUUAAACAUUGGCAUCCUUAUCUCUUACCAUAGCUAUGUGGCCUUUCUGGCAGCUGUUUCGGGAUGAUAUGUUGAGGGUGCAAAGGGAAUUUCAGGUGCAACGAUUUAGACCUGACUUUGUGCUUAACCAAUACCAUCAGAAAGCUCUGUCCCGUUCCAGCUUCCAGAGUGAUGGAUGUGCUACAGCAGGAUCAGCUGAGAGAAAUUAACUGCCAAUAACAUAAGAAAGUCACGCAUCUAGUUGAAAUAAAAUAAUCCUAACCUAAUCA